AACGAACGCUGGCGGCGUGCCUAAGACAUGCAAGUCGUACGGAAAGGCCCCCUUCGGGGGGCACUCGAGUGGCGCACGGGUGAGUAACGCGUGGGUAAUCUGCCUUAGGGUCUAGGACAACCCCGGGAAACUGGGGCUAAUACUGGAUAAGACCACGAGCUCCUCGGAGCUUGCGGGAAAAGAUGGCCUCUCCUUGGAAGCUAUCGCCCUUCGAUGAGCCCGCGUCCCAUUAGCUAGUUGGUGAGGUGACGGCUCACCAAGGCUUUGAUGGGUAGCUGUACUGCGAGGAUGACCAGCCACACUGGAACUGAGACACGGUGCAGACUCCUACGGGAGGCAGCAGUCGGGAAUUCUGGGCAAUGGGCGAGAGCGUGACCCAGCAACGCCGCGUGAGGGAUGAAGGCCCUCGGGUCGUAAACCUCUGUCGGGAGGGAAGAACGGUUCACGUUCGAACAGGACGGGAGCCUGACGGUACCUCCAAAGGAAGCACCGGCUAACUCCGUGCCAGCCGCCGCAGUAA
rnacentral:rRNA from 1 species